rnacentral:tRNA from 1 species
GAGAAUGUAGCUUAGUGAUAGAGUGCUUGCCUAGCAUGAGUGAGGCCCUGGGUUCAAUUCCCAGUACAAUCA